rnacentral:tRNA from 1 species
UUUAAUAUGGCAGAAAAGUGCAACGGUCUUAAACUCCGUAUAUAAAUUUAUAAUUUUAUUAGAA